AUGACGGGACAUGGACCAGUAACGUCUGGCGGCCUUUUGACCUGUGAGAGUCCCCAUGACGAGCACCCCUUCUCAAGGCCCCACACGGAUCAGUACAGGAAGAGCACAGCACUGCACCCCUCACCCUGAAGGCCAACUGUAUGCACCAAGGACAGGAUCCUGCACCGCGUCAAGGGAACAGCGUGAGGAGGGCUCAGGACACUUACCAGAGAGGGGUAAUCCCACCUGGGAAUUUCCCUGCAGGCACUGUCUUUAUGCUCACAGAGAGGGUCCACACACACUUCGCCAGGAGGCAAACCUGCACUCCAGUGUCCCUGUCACUCAUCAGGUAACUUGGCCACGCAAAACCUUUUCCUCGCUCUCUGCCUCAUUUCCCCUUGCGUGGCUGCAAGGGAAACAUUGUCACCAGUGAUGGCUGGCUGACACUUCGACCUGCAGUAAUGCCAUGGAGCCAGCCAGUGGGAAGAGUCUGCAUGUACCUUCCUUAAGGUACCUACUCAGGGCGGAGACGUCAUUGUCAAAUUCAGUGUUAAACCACAAACAUGGCAGAUUCUUGCAAAGCUCUUGGCCUGAUUCUAGGACCCGUGCCGGUCAGCCCAGGCCCCACCACAGCAAGACCCACAUCCCACUCAGUGCUCACCCAGCACUGUGUCCAUGUGGCGAUGGACAUUACUCAUGUUCCCCACCCCCUUCUGGGGGUGAUGUUGGCGGGAGAUGUGCCCGGUGCAAAGGUCUAAUGUUGUGUCCCUUGCUCUGAAGUAAGUCCCCACUGUGGGGGCUGGGAAGGAACCUGAGUUUCUUGUGGUUCCUUUGAGAUUCCUUGUUUAAAGCUGUAAGUUCCAGGCGCCCCUCCUGUAGUUUUGCUAAUAAGACCUCUUCUGCUCCCCCCUGUCUUCGCCCUCUGGUGGGGGCGAGGAGGAGGAGUAAAGGGUCCUGUCUCCCCCUCCUCCAGCCCCACUCCAGGGUGGGGGUCUCACCUAGCUGGCACUGGUCCUUCCACACAGAGUCACAUCCAGAGCCCCUCACACUGGGUGUCUGAGCCUUCCCGGGGGUUGGGUGAGGACGACUAUUUUGGAACCUUAAACAGGCUGCCAAGUAAGAGGCACGUGCCCGUGGAACAGGUGGGGAGAAACUUCACAGCCACCUCCCUGUGUCCUCCCACCUCGACCACCUCGAAGCAAACGGAAGAGCUGGUGUUUCUGGCCCCUUCUGUGGAGGAUGGAGGAGGAGACUUGCUGUAGAUGGACUCCUCCUCCAGGAGAAGGGAGGGCCCUUGGGGGCGGCUGGCCGCUGUCCCUCACCGGCGGGUUCUGUUUCUUCUGCCACGGAGACUGCAGGGCCAGCGCCCCCAACUCCCUCCUCCAAACCCUGUGAAACUAGAAGCUACUUGAUCCUCACCCGCCCAACUGGAUGGGGGACGUUCAGUUGUGCCCUCCUGUGUCAUCUCAUUACACACCCCCCUUCACACAGCCCUACGAAGUUCAAGGUGGUGAGAGGGCAGGGCAAGGUCUGGUUUAUCGGUGCCUUUGGGUGGAGUUAUACUUCUCGAGAAGAGAAGCUUCUGGAUGUUUUAUGGUAUUUCCUAGUGUUCUUCUGUAAAUGUAUUGAGAAAAAAAUGAACAGUUUAAGGAACGGGACCUCUGAGCAGGUACAACGAAAAAGCCUAGAAAUGAUAGGUGUGGGAGCCCCCUGUCAGCCUCAGGAAGACUGGAGGGGACCCUUCCAGGCCCUGAGCCCCACGUCCUGGGAUCCCCUGAA